GGCUUCUUGGGCUAGUGGGAGACUAGGCGCUUCGGGUAAUACUCGAUUCUGCACCUGACCCGGGUUCGAUUCCCGGAGAAGCCC
rnacentral:tRNA from 1 species